GCCAGCAGCCAUAUCACCCUGCAACUCACAACUGGCAGCCCACUGACGCUAAGCAGGUGUGAGCCUGGUCAGUACCUGGAUGGGAGACCUCCUGGGAAAAACUAGGGUUGCUGCUGGUA
ensembl:rRNA 5S_rRNA 5S ribosomal RNA